rnacentral:tRNA from 1 species
CGGCCGACGGGCCGGCGGUCCGCCGCCGUUCGUGCCGGUGGUGGUAAGCGACGUUCCGAUCCACCGCGAGCCGGC